AUUGAACGCUGGCGGCAUGCCUUGCACAUGCAAGUCGAACGGUAACGCGGGGCAACCUGGCGACGAGUGGCGAACGGGUGAGUAACGCAUCGGAACGUGCCCAGUAGUGGGGGAUAGCCCGGCGAAAGCCGGAUUAAUACCGCAUACGACCUACGGGUGAAAGAGGGGGAUCGCAAGACCUCUCGCUAUUGGAGCGGCCGAUGUCAGAUUAGGUAGUUGGUGGGGUAAAGGCCUACCAAGCCUACGAUCUGUAGCUGGUCUGAGAGGACGACCAGCCACACUGGGACUGAGACACGGCCCAGACUCCUACGGGAGGCAGCAGUGGGGAAUUUUGGACAAUGGGCGCAAGCCUGAUCCAGCCAUGCCGCGUGCGGGAAGAAGGCCUUCGGGUUGUAAACCGCUUUUGUCAGGGAAGAAACGCUCUGGACUAAUACUCUGGGGUAAUGACGGUACCUGAAGAAUAAGCACCGGCUAACUACGUGCCAGCCGCCGCGGUAA
rnacentral:rRNA from 1 species